GCCAGGUGUGGUGGCUCACACCUGUAAUCCCAGCACUUUGGGAGGCUGAGAUGGGAGAAUAACCUGAGGUCAGGAGUUUGAGACCAGCCUGACCAACAUGGUGAAACCCCAUCUCUA
rnacentral:SRP_RNA from 1 species